AAGAGCUGCUCCAGAGGUGUCGGUAUAAUGAUGCCCUAUUAGCCUCCCAAAGAAACCAGAUUUGGUGAGGAUUGCCCUGACUGUGAGCACAGUUCUGCUUUCCCUCAGGUCCAAUCAUGUUCUGAAUUUCAUCACAGCUUCCAUGUUAAACUGAUUGACGCUUCGUUUACUGCACGUUCCCAUAUGUCUGCAUAUGGAUAUGCAAUACAUGUCAGGAUGAAAACCACUGAUGGAGCAUCGGAGACAAGCAGGAACUAGCACUAGUGCCCAGUGCUUCCCAGUACCCUGUCUAAUAUUCUGGCAGCUGCCCAGGCUAUCCCCCGUGGACCUUCUUCUCUCUUCAUGCUAUAUUAGAAGAUGCACUUUUUGUUCCAGUUGGAUUUCUGAUGAACUGUUGUGCUCAGGGGACCAGCAGAAACCUGCUGAGCGCUGGGGCAGGAAAGAUGAC